rnacentral:rRNA from 1 species
UACGUAGGGUGCGAGCGUUAAUCGGAAUUACUGGGCGUAAAGCGUGCGCAGGCGGUUCGUUGUGUCGGCGGUGAAAGCCCCGGGCUUAACCUGGGAAUGGCCGUUGAAACUGGCGAACUGGAGUGUGGCAGAGGGGGGUGGAAUUCCGGGUGUAGUGGUGAAAUGCGUAGAGAUCCGGAGGAACACCAGUGGCGAAGGCGGCUCGCUGGGCUCUACCUGACGCUGAGGCGCGAAAGCGUGGGGAGCGAACCGG